rnacentral:rRNA from 1 species
GACGAACGCUGGCGGCGUGCUUAACACAUGCAAGUCGAACGGUAAGGCCCUUCGGGGUACACGAGUGGCGAACGGGUGAGUAACACGUGGGUGAUCUGCCCUGCACUUCGGGAUAAGCCUGGGAAACUGGGUCUAAUACCGGAUAGGACUCCGGACUGCAUGGUCUGGGGUGGAAAGCUUUUGCGGUGUGGGAUGGGCCCGCGGCCUAUCAGCUUGUUGGUGGGGUGAUGGCCUACCAAGGCGACGACGGGUAGCCGGACUGAGAGGGUAACCGGCCACAGUGGGACUGAGAUACGGCCCAGACUCCUACGGGAGGCAGAAGUGGGGAAUAUUGCACAAUGGGCGCAAGCCUGAUGCAGCGACGCCGCGUGAGGGAUGACGGCCUUCGGGUUGUAAACCUCUUUCAGCAUCGACGAAGCGAAAGUGACGGUAGGUGCAGAAGAAGGACCGGCCAACUACGUGCCAGCCGCCGCCGUAA